rnacentral:lncRNA from 9 species
AACUCAAAACACAACAGCCAUGGAGUUCCCUUGUGGUUCAGAAGGUUAAAGAUCCAGUGUUGUCACUGCAGCUUCCCAGGUCACUGCUGUGGCACAAUUUCUAUCCCUGGCUGGGAAACGUCCACGUGCUGCAGGUACAGCCAAAAAAACAAAAAACAAAAAAACCAGAAUGGAUGCUGUGUUUCGUUGUUUUGAUUUCAGGGCCACACCCAUGGCAUGUGGAAGUUCCUGGGCCAGGGAUCGAACCCGAGUCACAGGAGCGACCUGAGCCACAGCAGUGACAAUGCCAAAUCCUUAGCCUGCUGAGCCAUAAGGAAACUCCUCAGUCUGGGCUGGUAUUGUUUCGCAUCCUCAGGGCCCACGGAUCUAAAAUGCAUUCUGAGGGAGUUCCCGUCGUGGCUCAGUGGUUAACGAAUCCGACUAGGAACUAUGAGGUUGCGGGUUCGAUCCCUGGACUCACUCAGUGGGUUAAGGAUCUGGCAUUGCCGUGAGCUGUGGUGUAGGUUGCAGAUGCGGCUCGGAUCCUGCGUUGCUGUGGCUCUGGUGUAGGCCGGCAGCUACAGCUCUGAUUCAACCCCUAGCCUGGGAACCUCCAUAUGCCGCGGGAGUGGCCCAAGAAAUGGCAAAAAAAAAAAAAAAAAAAAAGAUAAAAUGCAUUCUGAGGAGUUCCCAGUGUGGCUUAGUGGGUUAAGAACACAACGCAGUCUCAAUGUGGAGGUGGGUUCAGUCCCUGGCCUCCCUCGGUGGGUUAAGGAUCUGGCGUUGCCACAAGCUGGGGUGUAGGUAGGUCACAGAUGCAGCUCGGAUACUGUGUUGCCAUGGCUGCGGUGGAGGCUCUGUUACAGCCCAAGUGGACGGAGGCGGCCACAGAAAGUUCUAGUAAGGUGCCAAGUUUGGGGGUGAGCCUCUCUGCGGCAGUCCCACAGCUGGCAGAGCCCUUGGCGUCUGUCUUGUCAAACGGACCAUACUCCAUUAUCUCCAGACUGGGCUCUGGGAAUUCCAGACCUGAGAUGUGUUUUCAGGACAAGGUCCAAGAUUUACUGCGAAGGAUUCUCUCCCUAAACACGGUGGCCUGAGGAGGCAGUUUCCUCCCCAGACCCUAGAAGCGCGUGGAAGACGCCC